AUGGCUCAGGAUGAACGCUAGCGACAGGCUUAACACAUGCAAGUCGAGGGGCAGCACGGGAGUAGCAAUACUUGGUGGCGACCGGCGCACGGGUGAGUAACGCGUAUGCAACCUACCUAUCAGAGGGGAAUAACCCGGCGAAAGUCGGACUAAUACCGCAUAAAACAGGGGCACCGCAUGGUGAUAUUUGUUAAAGAAAUUCGCUGAUAGAUGGGCAUGCGUUCCAUUAGGUAGUUGGUGAGGUAACGGCUCACCAAGCCGACGAUGGAUAGGGGAACUGAGAGGUUGGUCCCCCACACUGGUACUGAGACACGGACCAGACUCCUACGGGAGGCAGCAGUGAGGAAUAUUGGUCAAUGGGCGGGAGCCUGAACCGGCCAAGUCGCGUGAAGGAAAAGAAGGAUCUAUGGUUCGUAAACUUCUUUUGCAGGGGAAUAAAGUGCAGGACGUGUCCUGUUUUGUAUGUACCCUGAGAAUAAGGAUCGGCUAACUCCGUGCCAGCAGCAGC
rnacentral:rRNA from 1 species